rnacentral:rRNA from 1 species
UACAGAGGUCUCAAGCGUUGUUCGGAUUUAUUGGGCGUAAAGGGCGCGUAGGCGGGCUGCCGCGUCCGGGGUGAAAUCCCACGGCUCAACCGUGGAACGGCCCCGGGUACGGGCGGCCUCGAGGGGGGUAGGGGCGUGCGGAACUGUGGGUGGAGCGGUGAAAUGCGUUGAGAUCCACAGGAACUCCGGUGGCGAAGGCGGCACGCUGGACCCCCACUGACGCUGAGGCGCGAAAGCCAGGGGAGCGAACGGG